GGGUCAGUAGGUUGGUCGUGCCACCGGUACGUACUGGUCUCACUGAUUCCUCCUUCCUGAAGAACCGUAAUGCCAUUAAUUUGGUGUUGCGGGGAAACAGGACUGUUACUUUGAAAAAAUUAGAGUGUUUAAAGCAAGCUAACGCUUGAAUACAUCAGCAUGGAAUAAUGAAAUAGGACGAUCGAUCCUAUUUUGUUGGUUCCUAGGAUUGACGUA
rnacentral:rRNA from 1 species